rnacentral:rRNA from 1 species
UGCGUAGGCGGUCUUUCAAGUCCAGAAGUGAAAGGCUACGGCUCAACCGUAGUAAGCUUUUGGAACUGUAGGACUUGAGUGCAGGAGAGGAGAGUAGAAUUCCUAGUGUAGCGGUGAAAUGCGUAGAUAUUAGGAGGAAUACCAGUAGCGAAGGCGGCUCUCUGGACUGUAACUGACGCUGAGGCACGAAAGCGUGGGGAGCGAACA